rnacentral:lncRNA from 1 species
UUAAUUUCCCUGUAAUGCAUUCCAAAAUAGUAAACCAGUAAACCGGCAGUAAACUUAUUUUUCUUAGUAUAAGCCUCCUUUAAUUAGGAGCACCUAAAUAUGAAGUUUAACUUUAACUUAAAAAAUAUCCAAAACAUGUUCACGUUACAGUAUAUAUACAUAAACUAUAAUAGUGCCAUGAAUGGCAAAUUUACAGGGACCUUUUAAAUAGAAAUACAGGCGGGA